CCUACGGGGUGCAGCAGUGGGGAAUAGUGCACAAUGGGGGAAACCCUGAUGCAGCGACGCCGCGUGAGUGAAGGAGUAUUUCGGUACGUAAAGCUCUAUCAGCAGGGAAGAAAAAAAGACCUUUGGACUUUGGACGGUACCUGACCAAUAAGCCACGGCUAACUACGUGCCAGCAGCCGCGGUAAUACGUAGGUGGCAAGCGUUAUCCGGAGUUACUGGGUGUAAAGGGCGUGCAGCCGGGAAGACAAGUCAGAUGUGAAAUCCCGCGGCUCAACCGCUGAACUGCAUUUGAAACUGUUUUUCUUUAGUACCGGAGAGGUCAUCGGAAUUCCUUGUGUAGCGGUGAAAUGCGUAGAUAUAAGGAAGAACACCAGUGGCGAAGGCGGAUGACUGGACGGCAACUGACGGUGAGGCGCGAAAGCGUGGGGAGCAAACAGGAUUAGAUACCCGAGUAGUC
rnacentral:rRNA from 1 species